AAGAGCUCAGGUUUAGUUCUCUGUUCUUGUGUCUUUCUGUAGCUGAGGAGUCCGCCUACAUUCAAAAUAAGACUCAGACAUUCAACUCAGACUGACGGUGAUGGACAGAGGCGUGCUGCACCUCUCGCGCCCAGCGACGCCCCCAGGUGACCCGGAUGAGCGGGAGUCAAUGAAAAGCUACAUUAGCAUUAGCUGUAGCACAACCUCAGUAUAAAGUUUGAACAUCUCUGUCGCGUGAGUAGCGCUCAUAUUCAUAUCCAGGAUCAUUGAAACUCAUUGUGUUGCAAGUCUGAAGUAGUUUAAUGUCGAAUGAAAGCUUUAAAUACGUGCAUACGUGUCUGCUGUGAGUGUUUACGCCGUGAAGUGGAUGGCAACACACAGCACUUCAACUCCAGGAGCCAGCACUCUGUCAGCGAACCAUCUCUUGGCUCAGAAUAGAUCCCACGACCCUCCUCUGCACUCUGUCGACAUGGUUCUGCAGAGACUCGUCGGGGCAGCCACUGAAGUGAAGAGGCCCAGACCAGAUGUCCAGGGCUCUCUGCAGCCUGACGGGGAUCUACCCCAGGGCCUCCAGCAAUAGAGGCUAUGAGCACUCCCCACCGCACCCCGCCCCACCGACUUCCCCGCUCAACACCUUCAAGGGAAUUCCAGGAAAGCUUGCCAAACCCAAGCGGCGUGGAGUGUGACGGUGUGUGUGGCUCAUUUGUGAAUCCGUCUGGAAACUACACUGAGAGGAGAAUUCAACUCGAAUCUCUAC